rnacentral:rRNA from 1 species
AUUGAACGCUGGCGGCAGGCCUAACACAUGCAAGUCGAACGGUAGCACAGAGAGCUUGCUCUCGGGUGACGAGUGGCGGACGGGUGAGUAAUGUCUGGGAAACUGCCCGAUGGAGGGGGAUAACUACUGGAAACGGUAGCUAAUACCGCAUAACGUCGCAAGACCAAAGUGGGGGACCCUCGGGCCUCACACCAUCGGAUGUGCCCAGAUGGGAUUAGCUAGUAGGUGGGGUAAUGGCUCACCUAGGCGACGAUCCCUAGCUGGUCUGAGAGGAUGACCAGACACACUGGAACGGAGACACGGUCCAGACUCCUACGGGAGGCAGCAGUGGGGAAUAUUGCACAAUGGGCGCAAGCCUGAUGCAGCCAUGCCGCGUGUAUGAAGAAGGCCUUCGGGUUGUAAAGUACUUUCAGCGGGGAGGAAGGCGGUGAAGUUAAUAACUUCACCGAUUGACGUUACCCGCAGAAGAAGCACCGGCUAACUCCGUGCCAGCCGCCGCAGUAA